UUUUCAGUCGGUUAGUGUGACCUCCGUAUGGCAACAGGUAGCCUAGUGGUUAAGAGUGUUUGGGCCAGUAACCAAAAGGUUAUUGGUUCGAAUCCCUGAGCCGACUAGGGGAAAAACAUAUGUUGACGUUUCUUUGAGCGAAGCACUUAACCCUAACUGCUCUGGAUAAGAGCGUCUGCGAAAUGACUAACAUGUAUAUUUCUGUCUGAUUGGAUAAGAUGCUAAAUGACUAAUGUGUAUAUUUCUGUCUGAUUGGAACACCAAAAUAAGACAUUUUAGAGUAUAUAUAUAUAUAUAUAUAUACACUCUUCUUUUUUUUAAAGCACAAAGGAAUAUUAGGCACAAGAUCACAUCAAAACUCACUAUGAUACUAGUCAUACAAAGAUAAUAUCCUAUCACUGAAACACUAGACAACACAAGGCAAUGUGGGGGAGAGAGAGGAGAGAAACAGAGAGAGGGGGGGAGAGAGGUAAGAAACAGAGAGAGAAGGGAAAAGAUAAUAUCCUAUCACUGAAACACUAGACAACUCAAGGCAAUGUGGGGGAGAGAGAGGAGAGAAACAGAGAGAGAGGUGAGAAACAGAGAGAGAAGGGAAAAGAUAAUAUCCUCUCACUGAAACACUAGACAACACAAGGCAAUGAGCUCUUGGUGUUGGAACAGUGUCAUCUUGGAAUGAGAAAUGCAUCAUUUUGAACACGGGGUAUCACACCAUGUAUUUACCAGUAGUAACUCUCUAAGACAGAGUCAGCUCUACAGAGACACCCGUAAGGCCUGGGGGCUGCUAUCACACCAUGUGUACCAGUAGUAACUCUCUAAGACAGAGUCAGCUCUACAGAGACACCCGUAAGGCCUGGGGGCUGCUAUCACACCAUGUGUACCAGUAGUAACUCUCUAAGACAGAGUCAGCUCUACAGAGACACCCGUAAGGCCUGGGGGCUGCUAUCACACCAUGUGUACCAGUAGUAACUCUCUAAGACAGAGUCAGCUCUACAGAGACACCCGUAAGGCCUGGGGGCUGUGAGACCUCUCUCUGUUCUCUGUAUUCCUCCAAGAGGAAAUGCUGUUGUGCUUUAAAGGACUUUGAGGGCUCCAUCCAAUCCGUACCGCGGUAGUUCAGCGCUAUGCUGGGAUUGAAAUGUGAUGGUUUACCAUGAAUGCAUUAUUUCACGAAUUAGGGAACAUUGCCUUUUUAAAUUUCAAUUGCGCUAUAGUGCUGAAUUUACGCAAUACAGUUACAAUGCAUCAUCCCUAAAUAUAACAUGACAAUGGACUGACAGAGGGGGUGUCCCUACACAACGCCCCACACCCCCACUAAUGUCAGUCCCUACACAACGCCCCACACCCCCUAUAAUGUCAGUCCCUCUAAUGUCAGUCCCUACACCACACCCCCUCUGUCAGUCCCCACACCCCCUCUGUCAGUCCCUACACAACGCCCCACACCCCCACUAAUGUCAGUCCCUACACAACGCCCCACACCCCCUAUAAUGUCAGUCCCUCUAAUGUCAGUCCCUACACCACACCCCCUCUGUCAGUCCCCACACCCCCUCUGUCAGUCCCUACACAACGCCCCACACCCCCACUAAUGUCAGUCCCUACACAACGCCCCACACCCCCUCUAAUGUCAGUCCCUCUAAUGUCAGUCCUUACACCACACCCCCUCUGUCAGUCCCCACACCCCUCUGUCAGUCCCUACACCCCCUCUGUCAGUCCCUACACCCCCUCUGUCAGUCCCUACACCCCCUCUGUCAGUCCCCACACCCCCUCUGUCAGUCCCUAAACCCCCUCUGUCAGUCCCUACACCCCCUGUCAGUCCCUACACCCCCUCUGUCAGUCCCUACACCCCUCUGUCAGUCCCUACACCCCUGUCAGUCCCUACACCACACCCCCUCUGUCAGUCCCUACACCCCCUCUGUCAGUCCCUACACCCCCUCUGUCAGUCCCCACACCCCCUCUGUCAGUCCCUACACCCCAUAAGAAGAUGAAGAAAAUGAAAAACACAAAUAAGAUGAUAUUGUAUUCCCUGUUAUUCACUGUUUGCUGUUUAAUAAAAUGAGAUGUCCUA